rnacentral:rRNA from 1 species
UACGAAGGGUGCAAGCGUUAAUCGGAAUUACUGGGCGUAAAGUGUGCGCAGGUGGCCGCGCAAGUCGAGUGUGAAAGCCCCGGGCUUAACUUGGGAAUUGCGCUCGAAACUACGUGGCUAGAGUGUGGCAGAGGAAGGUGGAAUUCCACGUGUAGCGGUGAAAUGCGUAGAGAUGUGGAGGAACACCGAUGGCGAAGGCAGCCUUCUGGGCCAACACUGACGCUCAUGCACGAAAGCGUGGGGAGCAAACAGG